rnacentral:ncRNA from 2 species
AAGCAUAGAGGUCUCCGAAUCGGUCAUUCUAAACCAUCUGGCACUGGAUUACCGAUCGUAGGGUAAGUGGGGAAACCUGCUUGCCUCCCAUGGUGGAAAGGAGAUGAGUUACUUUAUUU